CGUAAGCGUUGCCUUCCUCGUCGGUGCGGCUGCGGGGCGCCCACGUCAUCUUGUUCUCCUUCUUGAGGCGCCGGCGCGCGUUGGCGAACCAGGUGGACACCUGGAACCGAAGUCCCCUGGCUGCAGGGCGGCCGGCGAUCUCUCCGCUUCCUGCAGACGCCGCGGCGCACGCUCCCACCGCUCCCUCCCCCCGCGCUCGGGUUACAGCAGCCGUGCGGACGCCGGAGUGCGUGGCCUGGCGUCAGCACCGGGAGGGAUUUGCAUCAGGCCGGAAUCCGGACCCCGGGGAUCCCAGGAGGCGCGGGCCGACUGUCUGCAGAGCCGCCCCGGAACGGGCUGCGGCGCCCCACCGGUCGCCAGGGCCUCGAGGCCGGUCCCUGGGUCCCGAGAAGCCUUGGGGAAACUUUGGGAGAAACUUUGCCAACUUUGCUGUCGGCGGGGAAGAGGCCGCCCGGCCGGCCGCUGCAGCUGCGGGCCGCGACGCUCGCGGUGGGCCCCGAGUUGGGCCCGGGCACCCGGGAGCCGGCCGGGCCGCCCCAGGAAGGGCGCGAGGCCGGCCGACGGCCCCUGGCUCCCCGCCGCGCCCUCGCGCGGCCCCCACCCCCACCCCCGCGCCCCGGGGGCUCUGAGCGGCCCGCGGCUCGCC